UGAACUUGGAAGGAAAAAUAGGUAAUGUGACCAAUUUAACCAGUGGGCUGGGGAUAUUUCUGUUUUCCUGAGACUGUUUUUUUCUUUUCCUAUUUUUUCUUUCAAGCUCUCCUGUGCCAUAUAACUCCAAGUACAAUCAUGCACAACUUAGGUAUAUGUUUAAUUCAAAAGCAUUCUGUGGAGAGAUCAAACUGAAAUUUCCUCUUAAAUAGACCUAUUCAUUCAAUGCUUGGAGGCUGGCCAGGAAUGAACUCCAAAUGUGAGACUCUGCAUCAGCAACUGGAAGCCCACACUCCACGUGACCACAACCUGUGCUUCCAAACGACCAAUCGAGCGAGCUUCAAAUGCUCUCAAGCUGUGAUUAGGCUCAUAGGGAGGGAUAAACAGAGGCCCCAAACUGUGCACCGAAUAUAUAAGUCAUCAAAGCAAUUUUAAAAUCAAUUCAACCUUUGACAAGCAGCCAAUGCCGUUCCCCUGUGAUUUGAGUGACAUGCUCAGGCUUCUACAUUGAGUGAAAUUGGACAGCAGUGCCUCUAUGCAUGUUAGAACCUAUGAAGGACCCUCCCUCCUCCUCAGUCCCCACCCCAAGGAAAAGCAUCACAGGUGUUACAAUGGUGUCUCUGUGAGGUCAUUAACACAUGGACAACACUCAAUUGUGAGGGCAUUGAUGAAGAUUCCAGUGACUAGGCAAAGGAACCCAAGACAGGAGACCUCAUAGCACAGCCUUAUCCAUAGCCCUGAGAUUAAUCAACUUGGACUCUAGAGAUGACUGAAAACAGGCUUCGUCUAAGGAUGGGUGGCUUGUUAUUUAGGGGAAAGAGGGCCAGGAUAGGGGUAGAUUGAUAGUCAGAGACUAACAGAGUUAAGCAAGCCCUCCUAUUUAAGACAGAAUUUAAGACAGAAUCCUAUUUCCCAUUGAUAUCUUUCUUUAUAUCCAUACCAGCCCCACCCCGUUCCACCCUGUCCCUGCCAUCCACCUCUUUUGUUAUUCUAAAAAGUGUUCUCCACUCUUCAAGACACAGAGAAAAGCUGGUGGGCAAAUGGAACAGAGGAUUGGCUCUGAGGCUCUGCUUUGUAGUCUGGUUUCUAGCUGUGGUUGGUUACUCGCGCUUUGCUCACUGGAACUGUAGAAAUAACUGCUGGUGUCUCUUCUUCGUGACUCAGGAGAGACAAGUGAGCCACCGCUGCAAUUCUGAUGCUAAGCUACAGUCUCACCUUCAGGGGCUCAAAGCCACAUUGUCUCCCUGACCUUGGCUUCCCUUUCCCUUCAGUGUGAAUUUAUCACCUGCUUGAGCUCUUUUGCCACCAUCUUCUCCUGGCUUUGUAGCAGCCUCCCUCUCUUCUUUUUCCAUUCAGGAUUCCAGUCAUAAUAGGCACUGUUAGUUCUCUCCUGGACCAUCAUGAUAUUCCCAGUUCUCAUGCUCCAAGACAAGAUGAGAAUCAGAGAGGUACCACACAGCAAGGCUCCACACACAAUAUAAUAGAGACUUUGUUCUGUGUUCUGCUCAGCUCUCCCCAUUGGACAGAGUGCCGUACAUUCCUGCACCUGGAGAAAGAAUCAGUAAUAUUGCAAAAGAUGCUGGAGCAAAGCCCAGGACUCAGGGAAAACAGACCGCACAGUUUACAACGAGAAAUCUUCAGGCUCACAGGUUUGGUCCACGGUGAAGGAGCCUGUAUGCUCCCUUCUACUGGGCUGUAAGGCUGGAAAUAAAGGCAUUUGAAAGGACGAAGUCACCUCCUGGGGAGAAGAGGAAGUACCCACCAAUCUUAGGAUAUUAGUGACUAAUUGUUUUACAGACACCUUCUCCCUCUUUAGCUGGAAAGCAAAGCUUUAUGCAAAGACUGAGCCUCCGCAGGACUCUGCUUGAGCGAAAGGAUCUUUAGGAAAACAAAGAGACAGAUUAUUAAUGCUAAAAAUGUAGAUGUGGGUUUCUGCGACCAUUUCAAGCCAGGUUUGAAAUAAUGGGCUCUGACCUCUUGCUAGGAGGUUAAAAGUGAUUGAAAACUGCAAGUCUUUUGAAAUUGUCUAGGCUGGUGGCAAACCUUAAGUUUGUCAUUCUGACCUUUGCUCGUGUAAAUAUAGGCAAGUUAUUUUGGAUGGCUCUAAAAGAGGUUAUAAAAAGCAAGUUUUCAGGCUUUUGUCCUUGCGGGAAAAGUCCCCUUUUUGCUUGUGUUCGGAAUUGCCUUUCUCCGAUGGUUUUUUGUGAUUAGCACUUGUUGGACACUUAAAGCAUUUCUUAUCCGGUAGAUAUAAUUGGAUCUCCUAUGUUUUGUGUCUUCAAAUGUAUCCCUGAGUGGCCGCCUUGAGAAAGCAUUUAGUGUUUCACUUGUUAAUGGAUUUCUUUCUAUCCUGGGUUUACUUCUGAUGCAACAAUCAUCGCAGACAUUUCCAAAGUGCUUCGUGUGCUCAAACACGGCAGCAUUCUUUGUAAGAAUGGUAAGUCUGAAGCCAUCUCCCUCAUCUCACUAUGCAGCGCUCUCUGCAGUAGACUUGGUUAAGGCGGCCAAGAAGGAAUAUGGAGGGCUGCUGGAGUUGGUCCUCCUCCUAACAUCACUGGUUUUGGGGGAUGGAACUCUGGUUCUCAGUCUCACCUCAGCCAGGUGUCUUUUACCCAAACAGCUAUGUCCCCAGCCUACUCUGUCUUUGGAACAUCUAUAUCUUGGAGAGGGUUAGUAAUGGGGCUCCUAAUUUACAUUCCAAUAGACAUUGCUAGAUGCUUUACUCUUCUCCCAGAAGCACAUGCAGACAAAAACUUAGUAUUAGUAAAUUUCAGUUUUAAGGGAAGGGUAAAUUUAAUGAUUUUAGGUAAAUAGUAGUAUCUCAGUUUUGCUUGCGCCCCCCCCCCCCGCCACUUACUAAUGCAUUUCACCUGCUUUUUUGUGCACGCUUGUGGUUAAAACAUACUGAGAAUUAUUUUUGGUUGUGAGCCUAGCCUUUAACGGCUGAGCCAUCUCUCCAGCCCAAGAAUUAUUUUUAAUUAUACAUUUUUUAUACAUGUUUUAACUAAGAUUAUGUAUUUGUGUAUGUUUUAACUAUUAAUUAUGCCUCCUAAUAACCUAGUUUUACUGCCUGGAUUCAUCAGUUUUACUUUUGUUGUUGUUGUUCAGAAAGAUGAAAGAUUUGCUAAUUCCUACUCAUCUAGAACCAUCUCAUAGCGUCUAAUAAAAAAGGUAUCAGGAAACAGUGGCUCUCAGAGCCUGCAGCACAAUCUGUAUUCUCUUAAAAAACAAAGACUUACUCUGUCUUUGUUGGAAUACAGUAAGUCUUUUGUUAUGUUUCUCUUUGUGAGUGCAUGCCACACCCACACUUAUGAAGGUGCCCAUGGAAUCCAGAAGAGGGCACUGGAAUUACUAGACCUAGACUUCCAAGUGGUUAUGAGCGACCUGCUGAGGUCUGAACUCAAGCUCUGCAGAAGCAACAAGUGCUGGUAGCCUUGAGCCAUCGCUCUUGCUCCAUGGUACACAUUCUUUUCUUAUUUCAGUUUUUAUUUUUAUGCUCCUCUCACCUAGACCACGGUUUCCCUUCCCUCCCCUUCCUCCAGUCUAUUUCCCCUACCACCUCCCCUGUCCCUCAGAUUUACUCUGCUUUCACUUCCCCUCAGAGAAGAGCAGACUUCCCAGAGAUGUCAAUCAAACACCAACAGCAUAACAAGCUACAAUAAGAUGAUCACAUCAUGGCUAGUAAAGGCAACCCAGCAAGAGGAAAAGGGUCUCACAAGCAGCAAAAGAGCCGAGACCAGCCCCUGCUCCCACCACCAGGAAUCCCACAGAAAGACCUAGCUACUCAGCCACAACAUUUUAUACAUUGUGCAGACAGCCUAGGUCAGAGACCCACAGGCUUCCUUAUCUCUGUGAACCCCCGUGAGUCCCUUGGUGGCCAUGUCCCAGAUACUGCUGGUUCCUUCGCUCCUUCCUGUCCCUCCUCAAUACCCAGGUCUGCCUAAUGUUUGGCUGUGGGACCCUGCCCCCAUCAGUUGUCUGAUAAAGUCUCUUGGUCUUUCUGAUGACAAUAAUGCUAUGUUCCAGUCCUAGAACACCGAGGGCAGGGUAAACAAUGUAGCUCAGAGGUUUUGCCCCAUAGCCCACAUCCUUAAAUUACUGUUUGCCAAACCUACUGCAUCCUUUGUGGUAAAUGCUAUUGUUACUGAAAAUUUAAGGGAACUCCUUUGUGGUUGCCUCAUGUUUCGGAAGAAAUCAGAGGUGCCCUCUUGGUGUUCUUAGUCUUACUAAUAAAGUAAUUUAAGAAUGGACUCAAAUGGAAGUUCAUGGCCACGUUUUUCACCAUUGAAGAAAUAAGCCGAUUCAGCCAAAUUAAAAGUAAAAAGUCAGGUUUAUUUGGGAAUGGACUCCCAGAAGAGUUUGCCAGUCUCAGGGGAUAAGACUGAAAAGUUGAAGGCAGAUUAUGGAAUGGAAGUUGUUUUAUAGAUUGUAGGAAAAGCAUGUGUCUGCCAUACACUGGGCUUGUGUAGGGUGAGGGGCUUGGGUAGCUGGUGACUUCAGGUGAGGCAGGUAGGGUCAGCUGUGAGAAAUGUCAGG